ensembl:snRNA U6 U6 spliceosomal RNA
GGGCUCGCUUACGCAGCACAUAUGCUAAAAUUAGAACGAUGUGGAGAAGAUCAGGGUGGGCCCUGCUUAAGGAUGACAAGCAAAUUUGUGAAACCUUCCAUAUUUAA